AAUGGGUCAGCGACUUAUAUUCUGUAGCAAGGUUAACCGAAUAGGGGAGCCGAAGGGAAACCGAGUCUUAACUGGGCGUUAAGUUGCAGGGUAUAGACCCGAAACCCGGUGAUCUAGCCAUGGGCAGGUUGAAGGUUGGGUAACACUAACUGGAGGACCGAACCGACUAAUGUUGAAAAAUUAGCGGAUGACUUGUGGCUGGGGGUGAAAGGCCAAUCAAACCGGGAGAUAGCUGGUUCUCCCCGAAAGCUAUUUAGGUAGCGCCUCGUGAAUUCAUCUCCGGGGGUAGAGCACUGUUUCGGCAAGGGGGUCAUCCCGACUUACCAACCCGAUGCAAACUGCGAAUACCGGAGAAUGUUAUCACGGGAGACACACGGCGGGUGCUAACGUCCGUCGUGAAGAGGGAAACAACCCAGACCGCCAGCUAAGGUCCCAAAGUCAUGGUUAAGUGGGAAACGAUGUGGGAAGGCCCAGACAGCCAGGAUGUUGG
rnacentral:rRNA from 1 species